UGAUUUGAAGAGCUUGCUCAGAUAUGACGAUGGACAUUGCAAAGAGUGGCGAACGGGUGAGUAACACGUGGGAAACCUACCUCUUAGCAGGGGAUAACAUUUGGAAACAGAUGCUAAUACCGUAUAACAAUGACAACCGCAUGGUUGUUAUUUAAAAGAUGGUUCUGCUAUCACUAAGAGAUGGUCCCGCGGUGCAUUAGCUAGUUGGUAAGGUAAUGGCUUACCAAGGCGAUGAUGCAUAGCCGAGUUGAGAGACUGAUCGGCCACAAUGGGACUGAGACACGGCCCAUACUCCUACGGGAGGCAGCAGUAGGGAAUCUUCCACAAUGGGCGAAAGCCUGAUGGAGCAACGCCGCGUGUGUGAUGAAGGGUUUCGGCUCGUAAAACACUGUUGUAAGAGAAGAAUGACAUUGAGAGUAACUGUUCAAUGUGUGACGGUAUCUUACCAGAAAGGAACGGCUAAAUACGUGCCAGCAGCCGCGGUAAUACGUAUGUUCCAAGCGUUAUCCGGAUUUAUUGGGCGUAAAGCGAGCGCAGACGGUUAUUUAAGUCUGAAGUGAAAGCCCUCAGCUCAACUGAGGAAUUGCUUUGGAAACUGGAUGACUUGAGUGCAGUAGAGGAAAGUGGAACUCCAUGUGUAGCGGUGAAAUGCGUAGAUAUAUGGAAGAACACCAGUGGCGAAGGCGGCUUUCUGGACUGUAACUGACGUUGAGGCUCGAAAGUGUGGGUAGCAAACAGGAUUAGAUACCCUGGUAGUCCACACCGUAAACGAUGAGUGCUAGGUGUUUGAGGGUUUCCGCCCUUAAGUGCCGCAGCUAACGCAUUAAGCACUCCGCCUGGGGAGUACGACCGCAAGGUUGAAACUCAAAGGAAUUGACGGGGACCCGCACAAGCGGUGGAGCAUGUGGUUUAAUUCGAAGCAACGCGAAGAACCUUACCAGGUCUUGACAUCCCUUGACAACUCCAGAGAUGGAGCGUUCCCUUCGGGGACAAGGUGACAGGUGGUGCAUGGUUGUCGUCAGCUCGUGUCGUGAGAUGUUGGGUUAAGUCCCGCAACGAGCGCAACCCUUAUUACUAGUUGCCAGCAUUCAGUUGGGCACUCUAGUGAGACUGCCGGUGACAAACCGGAGGAAGGUGGGGAUGACGUCAAAUCAUCAUGCCCCUUAUGACCUGGGCUACACACGUGCUACAAUGGCGUAUACAACGAGUUGCCAACCCGCGAGGGUGAGCUAAUCUCUUAAAGUACGUCUCAGUUCGGAUUGUAGGCUGCAACUCGCCUACAUGAAGUCGGAAUCGCUAGUAAUCGCGGAUCAGCACGCCGCGGUGAAUACGUUCCCGGGUCUUGUACACACCGCCCGUCACACCAUGAGAGUUUGUAACACCCAAA
rnacentral:rRNA from 1 species